rnacentral:lncRNA from 1 species
GAGACCAAACCGCAAGAGUCAAAAAAGGGUUUGGGCCGAAAAUGCUUCCUUAUCUCCUGGGCCACUCUCUAGAUGAUGUGGGCCUUCCUCUUCUUUACUGGACUGGCCUUCGGUUGUGCCCUCGAUUGUACCCCCCUCACACGAUGCUGGAAUCGAAGAGACUGUUUCUUGGGACAAUGAAACGCUGCCGCUUUUGUAAAAUUGCUUUUCGUCAUCCUCGAUAAUAGCAUCUGCCGGCCCCGUUGAGACCUCCUCCGAAGACCAAUCGGAGUCCGAUUCCGUCCUCUCCUCCUCCACCUGACAUCUGACGCAGAGAUUGGGUGCAUCUCUGACCUCCUCGACACGAAUUUUGAAACACGUCCCCUCGAUCACGCAAUCCAAAAGUCUGUCGCAUAAAUGGAGGCCCGUGUCAACCUGAAUGAAGGCUUCAUCGAACUUUUCCUUUGUCGCGGUACCUUCAUGAAUUUUACGAACCACACCAAAGCUAGCACAUGCAUCGUUGAAGAACCGAGGAUUCCAUGCAUGUAAAGGCACACCCACCCAUUUGGUCCAGACUACUCUUUGAUGCGAAACAUCGCCAAU